CCCUUAGAUGUUCUGGGCCGCACGCGCGCUACACUGUUCGACGCAGCGAGUCUUAACCUUGACCGAAAGGUUUGGGUAAUCUUCAGCAAAGUCGAACGUGAUGGGGAUCGAUCAUUGCAAUUAUUGAUCGUGAACGAGGAAUUCCUAGUAAGUGCAAGUCAUCAGCUUGCGCUGAUUACGUCCCUGCCCUUUGUACACACCGCCCGUCGCUACUACCGAUUGAAUGGUUUAGUGAGAUCUCUGGAUUGACGCUGGCUAGGGGGCGACCCUUGGUCAGACUGUUGAGAAACUGCUCAAACUUGAUCAUUUAGAGGAAGUAAAAGUCGUAACA
rnacentral:rRNA from 1 species